AUUCAAAAGCACAGUUGAUCUGUGCAUGCCAUGACCAACUUUCGAUUCUUUGAUUUGGAAAGCAAGUUUAUUAUUUUGGGCUGCAAAUCCUGCCCAAAG